rnacentral:rRNA from 1 species
AGGAGGUUGGCUUAGAAGCAGCCAUCCUUGAAAGAGUGCGUAAUAGCUCACUGGUCGAGUGGUUCUGCGCCGACAAUUCAGUGGGGCUCAAGUACACCGCCGAAGCCGCGGCAAACAUUUUUUGUUUGGGUAGGGGAGCGUCGUGCAUGGGUUGAAGCGUUACCGUAAGGAGGCGUGGACUGUGUGCGAGUGAGAAUGCAGGCAUGAGUAACGAAUUGAUAGGUGAGAAUCCUAUCCGCCGGAUGACUAAGGGUUCCUGGGUCAAGUUCGUCUUCCCAGGGUGAGUCGGGACCUAAGGCGAGGCCGACAGGCGUAGUCGAUGGAUAACCAGUUGAUAUUCUGGUACCCGUACAUGCGCGCCCAUGAUAAAGCACUGAUACUAACCACCGCGGAUGCACUGCUGACACUCUUUGAGUGUUGGUGGUGUUGAUGUCGUGGGGCCUGAUGUGUGGUUCAAGUGAUGGGGUGACGCAGUGAGGUAGCCACGCCACUUAUUGGAUUGGUGGUGUAAGCGUGCAGAUCGUGUGGUAGGCAAAUCCGCCACACAUUUGGUUGAGACGUGAUGCGUAGACCCACAAGGGUUGAUGGUGGUGAUCCUGUACUGUCGAGAAAAGCCUCUAGCGAUGUGUGUGUAUGGCCCGUACCCUAAACCGACACAGGUAGUCAGGUUGAAAAUACUAAGGCGUUCGGGUGAACUGU